rnacentral:rRNA from 1 species
UAGCUAACUGAAUCAACAAUGUGUCAUUGUUGAUAAGGUAAGGGAAAAGAAAUGAUACUACCUUACUAUUAGUGUCGUCCAAGUACUCGUGCCAGAAGACUCGGUAAGGCGAGAGACGCAAACGUUAGUCGUCUUAAUCAGGCGUAAAGGGUUUGUAGGCGGCUUUAAGAAUUUACUCUUUUCUCAUUUAAAUGUAGAUUAAAGAAAAAUCAAUUAAAGCUAGAAUCAAGAAGAGGUUAUUUAAAUAAUGCUUGAUAUAGGGUUGAUAUCUAUAGAAUUCAAGUGGAAUACAAACGGCGAAGGCUUUUUUCCAAUAAUGAUUGACGCUGAGAAACUAAGGUGAGGAUAGAAAAAAGGAUUAGAGACCCUCGUA